GACGAACGCUGGCGGCGUGCUUAAUACAUGCAAGUCGAACGCUCUCGACCUUCGGGUCACUGAGAGAGUGGCGAACGGGUGCGUAACACGUGAGAAACCUACCCCGAAGACGGGAAUAGCCCGAGGAAACUCGGAUUAAUACCCGAUACCUCCACACUGUCGCAUGACAGAGUGAAGAAAGUUCAGGCGCUUCGGGAGGGUCUCGCGGCCUAUCAGCUUGUUGGUGAGGUAACGGCUCACCAAGGCAUCGACGGGUAGCUGGUCUGAGAGGAUGAUCAGCCACACUGGGACUGAGACACGGCCCAGACUCCUACGGGAGGCAGCAGUAGGGAAUCUUGCGCAAUGGGCGAAAGCCUGACGCAGCAACGCCGCGUGGGGGAUGAAUGCCUUCGGGUUGUAAACCCCUUUCAGCAGGGACGAAAUUGACGGUACCUGCAGAAGAAGGUCCGGCCAACUACGUG
rnacentral:rRNA from 1 species